UACGUAGGUGGCAAGCGUUGUCCGGAUUUACUGGGCGUAAAGAGCGCGCAGGCGGUCGAAUAAGUCGAAUGUGAAAGCCCCCGGCUCAACUGGGGAGGGUCAUUCGAUACUGCUCGACUUGAAGGCAGGAGAGGGUAGUGGAAUUCCCGGUGUAGUGGUGAAAUGCGUAGAUAUCGGGAGGAACACCAGUGGCGAAGGCGGCAUCCUGGACCGGCAUUGACGCUGAGGAGACGAAAGCCAGGGGAGCAAAGCGGG
rnacentral:rRNA from 1 species